GAUGCUUCAUGUGUUUGAUUCUAUGCAAACUCAGUGAGCUUCCUUGUUACUCAGCUAUAAAAACUUCCCAUCAGGCUGUCAGUGGAGUUCACAGCACGUCAGUUUCAACAUCAACCAUGUUUUCUGUAGCUCUGCUGCUGCUGUUGGCAGCUGGAUGUGUGAAGUGUGAACAGUUGACACAGCCAGCCUCUGUGUCUGUGCAGCCAGGUCAACGUCUGACCAUCACCUGUCAGGUCUCUUAUUCUGUUAGCGGCUACUACACAGCUUGGAUCAGACAGCCUGCAGGGAAAGGACUGGAGUGGAUUGGGAUGGCAGCUACUGGAUAUACAACAUACUACAAAGAUUCACUAAAGAACAAGUUCAGUAUCAGCACAGACUCCUCCAGCAACAGAGUGACUCUAAAUGGACAGAAUGUGCAGACUGAAGACACUGCUGUGUAUUACUGUGCCAGAAGAGACACAGUGAGAGACAAUAACAGGAGAGUCAUACAAAAACUACUUCCUCUAUUUACCACCACUGGAAACAUUCAGUUCUCCUGGUAUUACAUUUUUGUGAGCAACUGUCAGCCAUGACAGUUUAGAGUGAUAAAGCAAUGCUGAAUUAUUAUCUUAUCUAUACUGAAAUGUAAAAUGUUAUAUUCAAUUCCAAAUUUGUCGCACAGAAAGUCAUGAAAAGAAUCUUGUUUGGUUGUCCAAGAUCUCCCAAGAAACCUCUGAAGUUAAGACAUUUUACCAAUUUUAAAAAAGUUAUUAGUAGAAUAAAAAAGUAAAAAAGUAUCUGAUUACUUGUCUAACCUGCAAUUUACAGUCUAAAUUAGGUUACACAUAGUGAUAGUUUAUGAAAUUGUAUGUGCUCUUAAGUCUUUAAUGCAUAUAAGAUAAACUAAUUUCAUGAUGAAAAAAGAGAGUAAAUUCAUCUAUUGUUUAAGUAUUUAUUUGUGGUCUUCACAGCUUUAUUGAUGGUGCAGCUGAAGAAGGUGACAGGGUAAGAGACACAUAGCAAAUCAUCCCCAGGCCAGGAGUUGAACCCAGGUCUGCUGCAGCCAGGACAAAGACUCUACAUAGGACUCCUGCUCUACCUACUGAGCUAAACAGUAUCCCAGCUGUAUUGUGUUAUAUCAAGUAUUUUAAAAAGAGUCUCAAGACCCACCUUUUUAACCAGGCUUU